rnacentral:rRNA from 1 species
AGAGUUUGAUCAUGGCUCAGAUUGAACGCUGGCGGCAGGCCUAACACAUGCAAGUCGAACGGUAACAGGGAGCAGCUUGCUGCUUCGCUGACGAGUGGCGGACGGGUGAGUAAAGUCUGGGAAACUGCCUGAUGGAGGGGGAUAACUACUGGAAACGGUGGCUAAUACCGCAUAAUGUCGCAAGACCAAAGUGGGGGACCUGCGGGCCUCAUGCCAUUGGAUGUGCCCAGAUGGGAUUAGCUGGUUGGUGGGGUAAAGGCUCACCAAGGCGACGAUCCCUAGCUGGUCUGAGAGGAUGACCAGCCACACUGGAACUGAGACACGGUCCAGACUCCUACGGGAGGCAGCAGUGGGGAAUAUUGCACAAUGGGCGCAAGCCUGAUGCAGCCAUGCCGCGUGUAUGAAGAAGGCCUUCGGGUUGUAAAGUACUUUCAGCGGGGAGGAAGGGGGUAGGGUUAAUAACCUUAUUCAUUGACGUUACCCGCAGAAGAAGCACCGGCUAACUCCGUGCCAGCAGCCGCGGUAC